AAGACCUUGCGCUUUUGGAGCGGCCGAUGUCUGAUUAGCUAGUUGGUAGGGUAAUGGCCUACCAAAGCUUCGAUCAGUAGCUGGUCUGAGAGGACGACCAGCCACACUGGGACUGAGACACGGCCCAGACUCCUACGGGAGGCAGCAGUGGGGAAUUUUGGACAAUGGGCGCAAGCCUGAUCCAGCCAUGCCGCGUGAGUGAAGAAGGCCUUCGGGUUGUAAAGCUCUUUCAGCCGGGAAGAAAAGGCUACGACGAAUAAUCGUAGCUCAUGACGGUACCGGAAGAAGAAGCACCGGCUAACUACGUGCCAGCAGCCGCGGUAAUACGUAGGGUGCGAGCGUUAAUCGGAAUUACUGGGCGUGAAGGGUGCGCAGGCGGUUUUGUAAGUCAGAUGUGAAAUCCCCGGGCUUAACCUGGGAACU
rnacentral:rRNA from 1 species